rnacentral:rRNA from 1 species
GUGAGGGAAAGGCGAAAAGAACCCCGGCGAGGGGAGUGAAAAAGAACCUGAAACCGUGUACGUACAAGCAGUGGGAGCCUCUUAAUGGGGUGACUGCGUACCUUUUGUAUAAUGGGUCAGCGACUUAUAUUCUGUAGCAAGGUUAACCGAAUAGGGGAGCCGAAGGGAAACCGAGUCUUAACUGGGCGCUAAGUUGCAGGGUAUAGACCCGAAACCCGGUGAUCUAGCCAUGGGCAGGUUGAAGGUUGGGUAACACUAACUGGAGGACCGAACCGACUAAUGUUGAAAAAUUAGCGGAUGACUUGUGGCUGGGGGUGAAAGGCCAAUCAAACCGGGAGAUAGCUGGUUCUCCCCGAAAGCUAUUUAGGUAGCGCCUCGUGAAUUCAUCUCCGGGGGUAGAGCACUGUUUCGGCAAGGGGGUCAUCCCGACUUACCAACCCGAUGCAAACUGCGAAUACCGGAGAAUGUUAUCACGGGAGACACACGGCGGGUGCUAACGUCCGUCGUGAAGAGGGAAACAACCCAGACCGCCAGCUAAGGUCCCAAAGUCAUGGUUAAGUGGGAAACGAUGUGGGAAGGCCCAGACAGCCAGGAUGUUGGCUUAGAAGCAGCCAUCAUUUAAAGAAAGCGUAAUAGCUCACUGGUCGAGUCGGCCUGCGCGGAAGAUGUAACGGGGCUAAACCAUGCACCGAAGCUGCGGCAGCGACACUAUGUGUUGUUGGGUAGGGGAGCGUUCUGUAAGCCUGUGAAGGUGGCCUGUGAGGGUUGCUGGAGGUAUCAGAAGUGCGAAUGCUGACAUAAGUAACGAUAAAGCGGGUGAAAAGCCCGCUCGCCGGAAGACCAAGGGUUCCUGUCCAACGUUAAUCGGGGCAGGGUGAGUCGACCCCUAAGGCGAGGCCGAAAGGCGUAGUCGAUGGGAAACAGGUUAAUAUUCCUGUACUUGGUGUUACUGCGAAGGGGGGACGGAGAAGGCUAUGUUGGCCGGGCGACGGUUGUCCCGGUUUAAGCGUGUAGGCUGGUUUUCCAGGCAAAUCCGGAAAACCAAGGCUGAGGCGUGAUGACGAGGCACUACGGUGCUGAAGCGACAAAUGCCCUGCUUCCAGGAAAAGCCUCUAAGCAUCAGGUAACAUCAAAUCGUACCCCAAACCGACACAGGUGGUCAGGUAGAGAAUACCAAGGCGCUUGAGAGAACUCGGGUGAAGGAACUAGGCAAAAUGGUGCCGUAACUUCGGGAGAAGGCACGCUGAUAUGUAGGUGAAGCGACUUGCUCGUGGAGCUGAAAUCAGUCGAAGAUACCAGCUGGCUGCAACUGUUUAUUAAAAACACAGCACUGUGCAAACACGAAAGUGGACGUAUACGGUGUGACGCCUGCCCGGUGCCGGAAGGUUAAUUGAUGGGGUUAGCGGUAACGCGAAGCUCUUGAUCGAAGCCCCGGUAAACGGCGGCCGUAACUAUAACGGUCCUAAGGUAGCGAAAUUCCUUGUCGGGUAAGUUCCGACCUGCACGAAUGGCGUAAUGAUGGCCAGGCUGUCUCCACCCGAGACUCAGUGAAAUUGAACUCGCUGUGAAGAUGCAGUGUACCCGCGGCAAGACGGAAAGACCCCGUGAACCUUUACUAUAGCUUGACACUGAACAUUGAGCCUUGAUGUGUAGGAUAGGUGGGAGGCUUUGAAGUGUGGACGCCAGUCUGCAUGGAGCCGACCUUGAAAUACCACCCUUUAAUGUUUGAUGUUCUAACGUUGGCCCCUAAUCGGGGUUGCGGACAGUGUCUGGUGGGUAGUUUGACUGGGGCGGUCUCCUCCUAAAGAGUAACGGAGGAGCACGAAGGUUGGCUAAUCCUGGUCGGACAUCAGGAGGUUAGUGCAAUGGCAUAAGCCAGCUUGACUGCGAGCGUGACGGCGCGAGCAGGUGCGAAAGCAGGUCAUAGUGAUCCGGUGGUUCUGAAUGGAAGGGCCAUCGCUCAACGGAUAAAAGGUACUCCGGGGAUAACAGGCUGAUACCGCCCAAGAGUUCAUAUCGACGGCGGUGUUUGGCACCUCGAUGUCGGCUCAUCACAUCCUGGGGCUGAAGUAGGUCCCAAGGGUAUGGCUGUUCGCCAUUUAAAGUGGUACGCGAGCUGGGUUUAGAACGUCGUGAGACAGUUCGGUCCCUAUCUGCCGUGGGCGCUGGAGAACUGAGGGGGGCUGCUCCUAGUACGAGAGGACCGGAGUGGACGCAUCACUGGUGUUCGGGUUGUCAUGCCAAUGGCACUGCCCGGUAGCUAAAUGCGGAAGAGAUAAGUGCUGAAAGCAUCUAAGCACGAAACUUGCCCCGAGAUGAGUUCUCCCUGAGACUUAGAGUCUCCUGAAGGAACGUUGAAG